rnacentral:rRNA from 1 species
GAUGAACGCUGGCGGCGUGCCUAAUACAUGCAAGUCGAGCGAACGGACGAGAAGCUUGCUUCUCUGAUGUUAGCGGCGGACGGGUGAGUAACACGUGGAUAACCUACCUAUAAGACUGGGAUAACUUCGGGAAACCGGAGCUAAUACCGGAUAAUAUUUUGAACCGCAUGGUUCAAAAGUGAAAGAAGGUCUUGCUGUCCCUUAUAGAUGGAUCCGCGCUGCAUUAGCUAGUUGGUAAGGUAACGGCUUACCAAGGCAACGAUGCAUAGCCGACCUGAGAGGGUGAUCGGCCACACUGGAACUGAGACACGGUCCAGACUCCUACGGGAGGCAGCAGUAGGGAAUCUUCCGCAAUGGGCGAAAGCCUGACGGAGCAACGCCGCGUGAGUGAUGAAGGUCUUCGGAUCGUAAAACUCUGUUAUUAGGGAAGAACAUAUGUGUAAGUAACUGUGCACAUCUUGACGGUACCUAAUCAGAAAGCCACGGCUAACUACGUG